UCCCUGGUGGCCCAGUGGCUAGGAUGCCUCACUGCCAAUGCAGGGGGCCUGGGUUCAAUCCCCAGCCAGGGAA